rnacentral:rRNA from 1 species
CCUACGGGUGGCAGCAGUGAGGAAUAUUGGUCAAUGGUCGGGAGACUGAACCAGCCAAGCCGCGUGAGGGAGGAAGGUACAGAGUAUCGUAAACCUCUUUUGUCAGGGAACAAAGACUGGGACGCGUCCCCGGCUGCGUGUACCUGAAGAAAAAGCAUCGGCUAACUCCGUGCCAGCAGCCGCGGUAAUACGGAGGAUGCGAGCGUUAUCCGGAUUUAUUGGGUUUAAAGGGUGCGCAGGCGGUCUGUUAAGUCAGCGGUCAAAGCCCGGGGCUCAACCCCGGCCCGCCGUUGAAACUGGCAGUCUCGAGUUGGAGAGAAGUAUGCGGAAUGCGCGGUGUAGCGGUGAAAUGCGUAGAUAUUAGGAAGAACACCAGUGGCGAAGGCGGCUUUCUGGACUGAAACUGACGCUGAGGCUCGAAAGCGUGGGGAGCGAACAGGAUUAGAUACCCCUGUAGUC